rnacentral:rRNA from 1 species
AGAGCGGGAGCCCGGAGAUGGGCACUGAGACAAGGGCCCAGGCCCUACGGGGCGCAGCAGUUGCGAAAACUCCGCAAUGCGCGAAAGCGUGACGGGGCUACCCCGAGUGCCGUCCGCUGAGGACGGCUUUUCCACGGUGUAAGGAGCCGUGGGAAUAAGGAGAGGGCAAGCCUGGUGUCAGCCGCCGCGGUAAAACCAGCUCUCCGAGUGGUGGGGACGAUUAUUGGGCUUAAAGUGUUCGUAGCCGGCUCAGCAAGUCUUCCGUUAAAUCCAGCGAUCUAAUCGUUGGGCUGCGGAAGAUACUGUUGGGCUAGGGGACGGGAGAAGCCGACGGUAUUCUCGGGGUAGGGGUGAAAUCCUAUAAUCCCGGGAGGACCACCAGUGGCGAAGGCGGUCGGCU